UACGGAGGGUCCAAGCGUUAUCCGGAAUCAUUGGGUUUAAAGGGUCCGUAGGCGGUUUUGUAAGUCAGUGGUGAAAGCCCAUCGCUCAACGGUGGAACGGCCAUUGAUACUGCAAGACUUGAAUUAUUGGGAAGCAACUAGAAAUAUGUAGUGUAGCGGUGAAAUGCUUAGAGAUUACAUGGAAUACCAAUUGCGAAGGCAGGUUGCUACCAA
rnacentral:rRNA from 1 species